rnacentral:tRNA from 1 species
CUGUGGCUCAGUGGUAGAGCAUCUUUUUUGCACGUGGAAGAUCCUUGGUUCAAUAUCUGAGCAAAAGGA